UAACCUUAUGCCCGAACAGUAGACCUGUGUCUGAAAAAGUGACUUGUUUGUCUUCAUAUCUGAACAGUAGACGUGUGAAAACCUAGCUAGUGUGACCUUAUAUUCGUACAAUAGACAUGUGUGAAAACCGAACUAUUGUAACCUUGUACCUGUACAGUGGACAGGUGUGAAAACCGAACUAUUGUAACCUUGUACCUGUACAGUGGACAGGUGUGAAAACUGUGAAAACUGAACUAGUGUAACCUUGUACCUGUACAGUGGACAGGUGUGAAAACCUAACUAGUAUGUCUUUAUAUCUGUACAGUAGAUGCAUGUGAAAACCUAUCUAGUGUGUCCUUAUAUAUCUGUACAGUAGAUCUGUGUGUGAAAACCUAAGGUUUUCUUGUAAUUGUACAGUAGACCUUUGUGUGAAAAGGUGACCCAUUUCUUUCUUGUACUUGUACACCUGUGUGUGAAAACCUGACUUAUUAUUCAAUAUAUAUGUACAGUAGACCAUAUGCGAAACACUGAUUGUCCAGGUUGUCUCCAUUUACCUGUGGUUGUCAUGAGUGUCACGUGAUCUGUUAUUAGCAAUAAUUAUAGCAAGAUGUGUUCCCUGCAUCAAGAUAUUUUUCUCUCAGUACGAGGGUAUCAUUAAAUGGGAGUUACAAAUGAAGUUUUUAAACAAGAAUUGACAUAACCAAAUUAAUCAUGUCACAUUGAUGAAGUUACAAUGUAGUGAAUUUAUCAAGACAUGAAUGUAUGUGUAUGUAAGUAUAUGUUUGUGUUCAAGCCUCAAUACUGUAAAUGAAUUUCAUCUCACAAAUCAGAUGAUACAUGCCAAAUUAAUGUCUCAUAAUAUACAUCAGUGAUUUCCUAGAAACAUGCUUAAGUGCUUUCUUCGCCAUAUGUUCUCUCAUGUUUAGUUGUCUGUCGGAAUAUAUUCAUAUCAGAUUCCAUGUUUGCAGUGCUGUUGCCAUGAACACAAGUGGGACCAGUGCCAAGGGAGGCAACUCUGUUGUGUAAAUGCUAUAUGUGAUAAGGGGUUUUGUAGUGUAGGAAAACAAUUUCUAGGGUGUCAUAUAUGUAUUGUGAAUAGGCAUUUGGAUUUAAUUGCAAGUAUUAUAAUACCCUUGUUUGGUUUGAUAUGCUCAUGAAGAGAAAUAAGGGUACAUACACGACUGACUGUGUGUGCAUGUGUCCUUGAACUUGUACUUGCCAAUCUCUGUAAUGUCCAGCAAAUAUAGUUUUUAGUUUAGUGUUUAGAGUGAGUCUCUAAUGUACGGUGAUUGCAGUGCUGGCUUCUAAACCAUUCGUAAUAAAUUAUUUAACCAUUU